AGAGAUGGGGUCGUCUGAAAAGGUCUUUCAAAGAAUAGUUUGAAGCUGCAAUCUACAAUUAUUAACGUUUGAUAUGUUACGUAGUUUUUUUUAAGCGGGAUAGCUUACAAAAAUGAAGUCUAGGCAGAAGUAUCUUUUGUGGUAAGAGAAAGUCACAAUGAUCAUGAUUGGAUCGAACCCGUCAAUCAAAUCUUGAUAAAGUUAGUUUGCGAAGGACUCCAUUUAGAACAAGGUGACUCAAUUUAGAACAAGAUUCCAAAUCUUGCUUCUAGAUCUUUGAUACUAAGAGGACAAUAAAGUCGCACUGAAAUUUGGGGGAGCAACCCUAUGAGCCAACCAACUAUGAAUUCUAUCUGUGUGGUUUCUUGCCCCCUUUCAAGACGGGUUUACAGAACAACGACCCUGUUCAAAAGGUCCUUGACCAUUUUCACACACGAUAGUGGCACUUGAAGUAGCCUCGAAGCACUAUCUUACUUGACUAAUAUGGGUCAAGCUUAAUGGUACGGAUUCUUGGACAAGGGCACUAUUAAGUCAAAUCUAGGUCAUUAAAUAGUACUAGUAAUGUAUCGGAGGGAGUAAAAAGCGGCCCAGCUCUGUUAGUAGGCUUGAAAAAACUAUCUUGGUCUUUCUUGAAUGUCAUAAUCGUCAACUAGGCUUCACGGCUUUGUAACUGGUUUUCUCAAAAGGCUUCAUAUAAAAAGAGAUAUUAUUCUAUGUCCAUCCUCGUUAUAAAUCUACCAUAAAUAAGAUGCGCUUUACAAAACAUUUCUUUGUUUCAAUCGGAUUCUCAACAGAACCUGAAACAAAUUUUUUCGACCACUGCAUUAGGUGGAGAUGGAUCCAACAAUUUGAGUUCGUCAAUGUAAGAGUCUGUUAUAGAAAUUCA